UGGGGAAUCUUAGACAAUGGGCGCAAGCCUGAUCUAGCCAUGCCGCGUGAGUGAUGAAGGCCUUAGGGUUGUAAAGCUCUUUCAGCUGGGAAGAUAAUGACGGUACCAGCAGAAGAAGCCCCGGCUAACUCCGUGCCAGCAGCCGCGGUAAUACGGAGGGGGCUAGCGUUGUUCGGAAUUACUGGGCGUAAAGCGCACGUAGGCGGAUUGGCAAGUUAGGGGUGAAAUCCCGGGGCUCAACCUCGGAACUGCCUCUAAAACUGCCAGUCUUGAGUUCGAGAGAGGUGAGUGGAAUUCCGAGUGUAGAGGUGAAAUUCGUAGAUAUUCGGAGGAACACCAGUGGCGAAGGCGGCUCACUGGCUCGAUACUGACGCUGAGGUGCGAAAGCGUGGGGAGCAAACA
rnacentral:rRNA from 1 species